AUUGAACGCUGGCGGCAGGCCUAACACAUGCAAGUCGAGCGGAGCGGCGGACGGGUGAGUAAUGCCUAGGAAUCUGCCUGGUAGUGGGGGAUAACGUCCGGAAACGGGCGCUAAUACCGCAUACUAUCAGAUGAGCCUAGGUAGGAUUAGCUAGUUGGUGGGGUAAAGGCCUACCAAGGCGACGAUCCCUAGCUGGUAUGAGCGGAUGACCAGCCACACUGGAACGUAGACACGGUCCAGACUCCGACGGGAGACAGCAGUGGGGAAUAUUGCACAAGGGGCGCAAGCCUGAUGCAGCCAUGCCGCGUGUGUGAAGAAGGCCGUCGGGUUGUAAAGCACUUUCAGCGGGGAGGCGUUACCCGCAGAAGAAGCACCGGCUAACUCCGUGCCAGCAGCCGCGGUAAUUC
rnacentral:rRNA from 1 species